rnacentral:rRNA from 1 species
GACGAACGCUGGCGGCAUGCCUAAUACAUGCAAGUCGAGCGAACAGAUGAAGUGCUUGCACUUCUGACGUUAGCGGCGAACGGGUGAGUAACACGUAAGGAAUCUACCUAUAAGCGGGGGAUAACAUUCGGAAACGGGUGCUAAUACCGCAUAAUAUCUUCUUCCGCAUGGAAGAAGAUUGAACGAGGGCUCUGCUGUCACUUAUAGAUGACCUUGCGGUGCAUUAGUUAGUUGGUGGGGUAACGGACUACCAAGACGAUGAUGCAACGCCGACCUGAGAGGGUGAUCGGCCACAUUGGGACUGAGACACGGCCCAAACUCCUACGGGAGGCAGCAGUAGGGAAUCUUCCGCAAUGGGCGAAAGCCUGACGGAGCAAUGCCGCGUGAGUGAAGAAGGCCUUCGGGUCGUAAAACUCUGUUAUAAGAGAAGAACAAAUUGUAAAGUAACUGCUACAGUCUUGACGGUAUCUUAUCAGAAAGCCACGGCUAACUACGUGCCAGCCGCCGCGGUAA